GCCUGGCUAGCUCAGUUGGUAAAGGAUGGGACUCUUGAGCCCAGGAUUGUGGGUUUGCGCCUCAUGCUGGGUU
rnacentral:tRNA from 1 species